AACGCACCUUGCGCCCAGUGGUAUUCCGCUGGGCAUGCCUGUCUGAGUGUCCCUUAAUCUAUCAACCGUUGCCUUUUUGCCACUGGUUUGGAUUCUUGGGCUUGGUAGUGCUUUUUUGCUUUACCGGCCUCAAAGGGAGUUGGUCGUCUGUCAUUAGCGGUUCGACCGAGUGUUGUAGAGUUACCUCAUUUGGAACGCUAACGAUUUCGGCCCCAAAUCUUAUACCAUACUCCAGUAAUUAGACCUCAGAUCAGGUAGGACUACCCGCUGAACUUAA
rnacentral:misc_RNA from 1 species